AGCCUGGGAGAAACCACAGGCAAUAGAAAAGCUCUGGUCAAGUCUCUCUCUUUCUCUUUGCUUCUUGGAAACGUGAUGUCAGCUUUCUUGGUAAGGCUUUGCCACACCCCAGCUGGUGCUGGAGCAGGCUGGAGCCUCAAGCCACUUGGGCUGACCGUGGUGCCAGGGUCUGGGGUUGCAAACAUGUGGCAGCCUCAUCAGGAAAGCUGCAGCUCCGGGGGAAUGUCAGCACAGGGCUUGCUGGAAAUUUAUUUCCACCGCCAAAAUCCCAUACUGGUAUAAUUUCUGUGUAUGUGUACCUGCCUUAUGGGGAAAGCAAAGAGAGAAGGGAGUGUAUGCAUUUGGCUGGAUUUCACGGAGGGUUUAUCUAGUGAUAAUGGAGUGCCCUUAGACUGUGCUGAAGUUAAGUGGGAACAAAUGCUCUCAGUAAUCCACAGGACUAAAGAAACCAGAGUCCACAGCCACCUGAUAUGAGAGUUAGGAUGCUGCUGGUUGACCUAGGUCUGAGCACCCUGAUCUAGCUGUAGGUGUCCCUCUUCAUUGCAGGGGAGUUGGACUAGAUGACCUUUGAAGGUCCCUUCCAACUCAAACAAUUCUAUGACUCUAAGUGGUGGAAGUGAUGUGGGCUAGGCCAAUCAGUAGAGAUAUUGUGAGCCUCUACCACAUCCUGGUUGGGAUUUCUGUUGUAAUGAGGUAGCCGUCCAGAAUACUUGGCAAGCACAGGGAUGGAUAGGAAAGCUGAAGGAAGAGAGGAUGCAUUACGUGUGUGUAUGUGGUGCAUACACAGACCCAGUGAGAAGUUCUGGGGGUGGCCACAAGUGCCACAAGAGCAGACCCCUGAGAUGUGGGUUUACACACACUUAGUCAUAUACUUCCUGGGAAAGAAGAUGCUUAUAACCAAAGGAUAACACCAGAGUUUAAUAAGAAAGGCAUGUCUUAAAAAAAAAAAAUGAUGCAAAUAAAUGUCUGUGUUUUUCUGUGUGUUUGUUUAUGUUUAUGUGUUGUAAUGGCUCUUUUUCUUGGAGAAGUGGGGAAAAAAAACUUUGAUGCUUUUAAAAUGUGCAUGGACUGCUGACAGGCUGGGAUAGAGGAUGCCUGUGGGUUUUGGGGUGAGACUGCGGCACUGCGACUAGCUCAGCAAUCAGACAUUGAAGGGUUAGUUCAUACACACAACGGAACCCUCUGAAUUACUGAAUUAAAAUCCUAUACAUUGAUUCCUAGAUGCUGUCACACAAAAGCAUUGAGAUGGCGAUGUUUACAGAUGUGUCUAGAACUCAAUGUACGGAGUCAAGCAGGAGUCCAAAUCCUAAAUUAGGGACUUUGGUUGGGGAGACAUGGAUGGAGGACUUCGAUGGCCUAAAGCAAGUCAUUGUAGCCCCUGAUUUUAUGGGCUGUGCUCUGUGUGUAGUGUCACUGCAAAGAUAACUCUGCAGUUAAUCAGUAUUUUGGCAGUGAUGUGUGAAACUGAGUGCUGGUAUGCAUACAUUAGCCCCUAUUUGAAAACACAUGGCUGUAAACUAUGUCACUUUCCCCUUUACUUUCUGCCCUUCCUUUCCAACAAAUAAUGGGAUUUUCAGUACUUCUUGUAAGUGUACAGGUGUCUUCUGUAUUUAUUUCUGGCGGAGCAGCAGAACAGAGGUGGAUAUAAACUGACCUUUGGGAAGAUACCAUAGACAAAACCUGAUCUAUCAUGGGGAGAGAUGGUGAGCACCAGCUGCUGACAAGGUGGAGAACUAUCAAGGAGUUUGCUUUUUGAUGGGUUACCUUUGGGAAAACUGCAGUGCUUCAGGCGUGGUAGAAGCUACAAGAUGGAAGUAGAGGGAUGAAAAUGCUCUAUGAAAUUAUGGUGGAGUCUUCAAAGCCAUCCCUUGUCCAAGAACUCCUGUGGUUCAGAAGACACUGGCCAACAGAGCUCUUCCUUCACUCAGAAACCUGUCCCUUUUUUGGAGCAAACUCUGUUUUCUCACUGAUUUCACAAUGACCAGCGUAGGGUUUCUUUGGUGAGAACAAAACUUCCACGGUCUCCACAAUGGAAAAUCCCUUCAGGAACAGGCCUCAUGGAGCAAGGAGGCCUUGCUGGAGCUGAUGGCUCACCCAUUAGCGUGGGUCUCUAAGCUCAGACUGUGUCCAGCUGCAGAUGCAUUCCUGCCUCCAAAAGGCAAAGCAGGUGCAUUCCCAGCUCUCACACCAAGUGAAGCCGCAUGCCCUGAUGGCAGUGCUCAGGGAAUCACACCCCUCCAAGCACUUGGUUGGGAUUCUACAACCUUCUGCAGCACAUCUGAGAGCGACGCAUCUAUGCCAGUGCAAGAUGAGAAGUGGGCUCUGGGCUUGUCAGUACAUUCAGCAAGAAAUACUCUUCCUGACACAGAAAGGGUCUGGUGUUUCACUGCUGCUGUAAAUGUCCCAGUGACCACAAGUGGCCUUGGCUGACAUUGCCAUGUCAGUCGUUAAAAGGAAGAGGCCGCAAGCAAUGAACCAUGGAUACUGCCUGGUAAAAGGAAGGGGAUACCAUGAUCUGCUGGAACACUUGAAAUGCCCUCUGGGCUCCUGAAAGCUGGACUGAAUGACGAAAUGUGAGAAUCUCAGACAUCUCUCCUCAACUUAAUAUUGUGCAGACCCUUCUGGAUGGGCUUGGGACGUCCCUGGGAGACAACAGGUAUGUGUGGGAGCUGGAGUGUGUUCGAGAUGGUGGCGGAUGUCCCAUCAUCAGACUUUUUUUUCAUAAGAUAAGUUCAGUUAUGCUUCUGAUGCGGCAGCCCCCUCACACAGGAAAUUUAAAAGCAUUUUUGAUGGCAGAGUAAAAAGAAUGUAAUCAAAAGAGUAUUUUAAAAUUUAGUUGUUUAUUUAUUCAUGGUUUGUUUUCUCUGCCUUCUCUUAGCUUUCUCCUCCUCGUUUACAACUUUGAGGGAAAGGAGCCAGGUUCUUUCACCCCCUGAAAGGUUUAACACAGGUUAAAGCAGCAGCUUAGGAUUUUUCCUCGGUAAUAACCGGCAAACAAAGCUAAAUCCUUUUGCAGAACAACAAAUUUAAUCGGACAGGCAGCUUUGCACCAGCUUCCGCCAAUCCACAGCCCGCUGCGGAGGCACAGGCAUCUACUGGGCCAAAGCCAUCCCUGGGGAGGCUGGCAGUGCUCCAGCCCCAGCCUGCCCAGGAGAUAAAGCUUCCAGCCUGUUGGGAACACAUAGCAAAGCCUGUGACUGUCCCAUCAGUACGCACCGUUGGGAAACUAUUACAGGAAUGUGCAGUUCAACAAGCCUCUACACACAAGACUCUGUUUCUUUCCCCUUGAGAUAAGAUUUUGUGUUAUGCAUUCUCAGGGCUUCCCCUGUUUUGCUGGCCAGAGGAAUCCUGGCUUAACCCAGUAAAUGAUGGAAGGGGCCCAAAACAGAGGACACAGGCAGGCCUUGUCAUCUGAGGUUCCUGCAAGCCACCUGGCAGUGCAUUAGGGAAGGGUUUUUUAAGGCUGGAAAAGUCAUCCCUGAGGCAUCUAUCCACAGUGAAAGCACAUAGCAGCUGGAUGCUGGCUUGGGGCUACCUGAGCGAGAUGCCACCAGCAGUGUAGCUGGGGCAGCCCAGAGCUCAAGGUGCACAGCCCGCCCAGUCCUCAGGGCAGUAUGCUGGCUAAUAGCUUACCAUGAGCUCCAUGGUUGCGGUUAUCAGCACACGCACCAUAGAGUUUAUAUCCAAUAUGAACUCAUCUGCCUGACCCAUGGACUGGCCUCUGGUUGCAAUGCCUCUGUACACUUAGCCCCUGAGCCCCCUCCUGUGCUGGCUCUUUUGGCAGACCACUGAAUCCACAUAACACAUUUUUAAAAGGAAAGAAUAACGCCCGCCCUCCACUCAGAGGCUAAAUGGAGAAAAGCUUUGUUCAAACACAAGUGCAUGAAAAGGCUCCAAAGUCAUUUUCUUGAAAAUGGCUGGGAAUCAUUUCUUUCUUUGCUUCAGAGCUUUUUCUUAAUCUUUUUUUUUUUUUCUUUCCCUUCUUCUUUUUAUGUAAAUACUUACAACAAUGGCUAAUUCUCAGAAAAAAAUGUAAGCUAUUUCUCAGUGGGAUUCUGGUCUGCCCAUUUCUUCAUUCCAAACUUUUGUCUUUAAAGCUGAGGUCUUGGCUAAAUUAUAUAGCUCCACGUUUAGCUAGGUACUCCCUUUCCAGAACUAGCCUGUUGGGACUGAGAAUUAUUCCUGUUAAAAGCCUAAAAUAAAAUAAUCUCUUCCAAAUGACUUAUUCUUGGCUCUGGCAACUGAUUGUGUAUAUAUGCCCUAAGCUGUAUUAACGUGGAAGUAAUAGAUCACAGAGAGCUUGUAGCAUUGUAUAUGUUACUCGCACAUUAAGCCUAUGGACAUGACAUCACUGCCCUUGUUCUGGGCUCCGGUGAUGGUGUAGCCAAAAGGAGUAACUGAGAACACAUUGCAUUGUUCUUCUCAGCUGCUGGGGCCAUAUUGACUUUGUGAAUCAUGCUCAGCAUGCAGGGAUGAUACAUCCCGUCAUUAUGUUACUAAUGCAAUGCCCCAGUCUGAGCAGGGGAUGUUCCCUGCUCUAAGAAAACAGGGAAGAGCAGAAAAGUUUGGGAACGGGUCACAAACUCCUUGCCAUCUCCUAGUCUGUUUGAGUUCACUCAUCUGUGGCACAAAAACAACAGCAAGAUGUUAAACUGUUAUAAACAGGGGACUAUCUUGAGGCUUACAUGAGAUAACUGUUAUUUUUUCAGUGAAUCCUAUUGAGAUGCUUAAGCUGACUGCAAGACGCAAAGAACUGACUUUGAAUACCAUCCUUUCCUUUAUCUUUCUUUGGGCUGCCAGCAAGGAGGCCCAGAGAGGUGGAGAGCUGGAAGAGGAAGACUGCUCUGCUGGCUUUCUCUCUGAAUAAAAGGAGCUAAAAGAGCCUAGAGGCAGACCUAAUACCCAGACAUUUUGAUUUUUACAUGUCACUAUAAGUGAGAGAAUUUGUGUAAUAAAACAAUAAUAAUUUCACCAUAAAAAUGGGGAUAAUACAAUUUUCAGUAAGUGUAAAAAGCUGGGAUUAGCUGUGCCCAUCGUAGGUGACCACCCUUAGCUUCAAGCAAUUGUUUGCAGUCUCAAGAGGCAGAAAUACAGCAAAUUAGAGGGCCAGCAAAGUUUGUUUAAGAACUUAUCUUUGAGCACCCAAAAGCCAGGACUCAGUGAGGAUGAGGAGGAGUUAGCAGGAACAGCAAGUGAUGGGGCAUGCUUAGCUGGAGCCACCAAGAGGAGCCACAAGCUUCAAAGAUCUGUCAGUGGCUGCCACUCCAGCUCAGCUGCAGCUCCGAAGAACCCUCUGCUGCCCGGUAGGUGAGUGGAGGAGCCCCAGGCUGUCAGCUGUGCAGAGAGUUUCCAAAGCUGACAGGAGCAAUAGUCUGCUGUAGUGACACUUCAGAAGGCAAUGAGAGAUGGCUUUGGUAAGUGUCCCUGUGCUACAGGAAUGGGUAUCCAUACCGGUUAUUUUGUAUACGCUCCUUUGUCCUUUUCUCACUUUUCUUCAAUGCUGUUCUGUUAAACCAUUUAUGAUUUGAGGGCAAGGAAACAGAGCUCUGUGAAUGCUGAUUAAUUUUCUCAGGUGGGGGAGUGGGAACACAAAAUUCUGGUUAUUAGUGACCUUUAGAAACUGAACUUUGCCUCUGUCAAGGUCUGGAUGAAAGAGUUCACUUCUUGCUUCCUUCGUUUUUUCCCUUGGUACCACAAAAAUGGGGUUUCCAUUUUUAUAUACAACAAAAAGAGAUAAAGGGCCUGAACAUCUGAAAGUCUAGCAGUUUUUUACACCUGUGCUAAGCAGAGUCUGAGUUCUUCUCAGCAUCUGAGGCAUGUUUACCAUGUGUGGUAUCAGUAUGUGAAUGUGAAUGUAGGAGCCAGAUAUCAAAUCACAGAAUCACAGGGCUUGGAAGGGACCUCUGGAGAUCAUCUAGUCCAACCCUCCACUAAAUCAGGAUCCCUUUAAAUAUUGGAAGGCUUACACAGGAAAGUAUCCAGGCAGGUUUUGAACAUCUACAGAGAAGGAGACUCCACAGCCUCCCUGGGCAGCCUGUUCCAGUGCUGUCACCCUCAAGGUAAAGUUCUUUCUCAUAUUCCAAUGGAACUUCCUCUGCUCCAGUGUGAAUUUGUUGCCCCUUGUCCUGUCACUGAGCGCCACCAAGAAGAUGGAGCCUGGCCCCAUCAACCUGACACACCUCCAUUAGAUUAUAGCAUUGAUAAGAUCUUCCCUCAGCCUUCUCUAGGCUGAACAGUUCCAGGGCUCUCAGCCUUCCCUCAUAAGGGAGACGCUCCAGGCCCCUCACCAUUUCAGUGGCUCUCCACUGGGCUCUCUCUAGAAGUUCUCUGUCUUUCUUGAACUGGGGAGCCCAGACCUGGACACAGCACUCCAGACGUGGCCUCAGUGGGGCAGAGCAGAGGGGGGGGAUCACCUCC